ACGGGUGAGUAACGCGUGGGAACGUGCCCUUCGGUUCGGAAUAACUCAGGGAAACUUGAGCUAAUACCGGAUACGUGCGAGAGCAGAAAGGUUUACUGCCGAAGGAUCGGCCCGCGUCUGAUUAGCUAGUUGGUGAGGUUACGGCUCACCAAGGCGACGAUCAGUAGCUGGUCUGAGAGGAUGAUCAGCCACACUGGGACUGAGACACGGCCCAGACUCCUACGGGAGGCAGCAGUGGGGAAUAUUGGACAAUGGGGGCAACCCUGAUCCAGCCAUGCCGCGUGAGUGAUGACGGCCUUAGGGUUGUAAAGCUCUUUUCUCCGGGACGAUAAUGACGGUACCGGAGGAAUAAGCCCCGGCUAACUUCGUGCCAGCAGCCGCGGUAAUACGAAGGGGGCUAGCGUUGCUCGGAAUCACUGGGCGUAAAGGGCGCGUAGGCGGCUGAUUUAGUCGAGGGUGAAAGCCCGUGGCUCAACCACGGAAUGGCCUUCGAUACUGAUUGGCUCGAGACCGGAAGAGGACAGCGGAACUGCGAGUGUAGAGGUGAAAUUCGUAGA
rnacentral:rRNA from 1 species